rnacentral:rRNA from 1 species
GACAGAGGAUGCAAGCGUUAUCCGGAAUGAUUGGGCGUAAAGCGUCUGUAGGUGGCUUUAUAAGUCUGCCGUCAAAUCCCAGGGCUUAACCCUGGACAGGCGGUGGAAACUACCAAGCUGGAGUACGGUAGGGGCAGGGGGAAUUCCCGGUGUAGCGGUGAAAUGCGUAGAGAUCGGGAAGAACAUCGGUGGCGAAAGCGCUCUACUGGACGGUGACUGACACUCAGGGACGAAAGCUAGGGGAGCGAAUGGG